rnacentral:lncRNA from 1 species
GCGGGGGCCGCAGCUUUGUGGAGGGAGCCGCCGUGCUUCUGUCACCUGCUCCCUUUCUUGCGUCUCCCUGUGAUGGGCCCUUAGGCCUGGCUGGGCCCAUUACAUAUCCCUGUGGUGGCUCUGGUGGCAGCUUUCUGUGGCCCCUGCUGUGUUGGCAGGCAGGUUUGCGUGGUGAGGAGCGGGAGGGGUUGGAGUGGUGCGGGAGCAGGCUGCCGAGUGGAGGCCGAGCGCAUGCUGGGAGCGGUACUGUCAGAAGUGAGCCCAGUUAGUACCCCGCUGGCUCACUGCACGAGAGAGUCCUGCCCCGAGCCCUAGGUGGGGCCAGGAGGU